GACUGUAUAUAUAGUUAGAGGUCGAACUAGAGUAAACACUGGCAUAGCUUUUCAGCGAUGGCGACAGCUGAGGGCGCUGAAAAGCAUGAAAAAUGA